AUUGAACGCUGGCGGCAUGCCUUACACAUGCAAGUCGAACGGUAACGGGUCCUUCGGGAUGCCGACGAGUGGCGAACGGGUGAGUAAUAUAUCGGAACGUGCCCAGUAGUGGGGGAUAACUGCUCGAAAGAGCAGCUAAUACCGCAUCCGACCUGAGGGUGAAAGGGGGGGAUCGCACGCCCUCCCGCUAUUCGAGCGGCCGAGAUCAGAUUAGCUAGUUGGUGGGGUAAAGGCCUACCAAGGCAACGAUCUGUAGUUGGUCUGAGAGGACGACCAGCCACACUGGGACUGAGACACGGCCCAGACUCCUACGGGAGGCAGCAGUGGGGAAUUUUGGACAAUGGGCGCAAGCCUGAUCCAGCAAUGCCGCGUGCAGGAAGAAGGCCUUCGGGUUGUAAACUGCUUUUGUCAGGGAAGAAAUCUUCUGGGCUAAUACCCCGGGAGGAUGACGGUACCUGAAGAAUAAGCACCGGCUAACUACGUGCCAGCCGCCGCCGUAA
rnacentral:rRNA from 1 species